rnacentral:rRNA from 1 species
AUUGAACGCUGGCGGCAGGCCUAACACAUGCAAGUCGAACGAGUGGCGGACGGGUGAGUAAUGUCUGGGAAACUGCCUGAUGGAGGGGGAUAACUACUGGAAACGGUAGCUAAUACCGCAUACCAUCAGAUGUGCCCAGAUGGGGUUAGCUAGUAGGUGCGGUAACGGCUCACCUAGGCGACGAUCCCUAGCUGGUCUGAGAGGAUGACCAGCCAAACUGGAACUGGGACAGGGCCCAGACUCCUACGGGGGGCAGAAGUGGGGAAUAUUGCACAAUGGGCGCAAGCCUGAUGCAGCAAUGCCGCGUGUAUGAAGAAGGCCUUCGGGUUGUAAAGUACUUUCAGCGGGGAGGCGUUACCCGCAGAAGAAGCACCGGCUAACUCCGUGCCAGCAGCCGCGGUAAUAC